CUAUAUGUGAGGAGAGAGAGAGAGAGUGAGUGCUCAAUUUGUCGUUGGUUGGAACUUUACAGAGAGAGAAAACCGUACGGAGAGAGGAAGAAGGAGAUUCUGGAGAAGUGAAAUCAAGAAGAAGAGAAGGAAGAUAGGAAGAACAAAGAAGAAGGUGGUUUUGUGGGAUACUAAAAUUGAAGUUAAAAAUUAUAAAAAUUCAUUCUAAGGGUCAAGUGCAGGGACGAAUCAAGCACCAGAAAAAUGUGAUCAGGCACGUGAUCAGGCUUAGAGGCACCUGCCUGGAAUCUGUUUUUGUCAACCAACCUAUGUGCCUCCCGUGGAGGUUCCAGAUAUGUCAAAUGGCUAUGGCUAUGUGAUUUAAAGUUUAAGUUUUGUUUUCUUGUUUGGUUAAACAAGUCUUUGUUUAUUUUGUAAAUAGGGCUAUGUCCCUUUUUGUCUAAUCUGUAUAUAUAUGAUGACGUAAGAAUGAUGUGUAAAUACGUAUAUAAAAAGUUUCAAAUUUUUAUGUCU